GUGGGUAUAGCUCAAGUGGUAGGGUGUGUGCUUAGCAUGCAUGAGGUCCUGGGUUCAAUCCCCAGUACCUCCA
rfam:Camelus ferus unplaced genomic scaffold scaffold1086, whole genome shotgun sequence.